UUUGUAGAUUGAGUGGCUUUCAGUGUCAUCUUAAUGAUUGUGUUUAGCUUUUUGUUGUGUUGAAUUGGUUUGGUUUGAUUUGAUAUGGUGUUACAACUUAAAUUGUGGUUUUGAAAAAUACGAGCUUGUUGCCGAGUGGUGUAGAAUUUUUGGAUUUUUUCUUUUAGAAAAUGUUUUUUUAUUAUUUUUACCAUUACUUGUAGAUCGUGUGGCUUUCGGUGUCUUCUUAAUGAGUGUGUUUGGUUUUUUAUUGUGUUGAAUUUGUUUUAUUUGAUUUAAUUUGAUAGGUGUUACAACUUAAAUUGUGGUUUUGAAAAAUAUGAGCUUGUUGCUGAGUGGUGUAGAACUUUUGGAUUUUUAGAAAAUAUGGGAUUUUUAUUUUUAUAUGCUAGGUGUUACAACUUAAAUUGUGGUUUUGAAAAAUAUGAGCCUUUUGCUGAGUGGUGUAGAAUUUUUGGAUUUUUUCUUUUAGAAAAUAUGUUUUUUAUUAUUUUUACCAUUACUUGUAGAUAGAGUGGCUUUCAGUGUCAUCUUAAUGAGCGUGUUUGGUUUUUUAUUGUGUUGAAUUUGUUUUAUUUGAUAGGUGUUACAACUUAAUCGUGGUUUUGGAAAAUACGAGCUUGUUGCUGAGUGGUGUAGAACUUUUGGAUUUUUUUGGAAAUAUGGGAUUUUUAUUUUUUGUGGAACACAUUUAUCGUGCUGACUUGGUAUGGUUACGGACUUAUGAUUUUUUGAAAGAUUAGAUUUUGUUCCUAAGAAGUGCUAUAGAAAUUCUUGGGUUUUUUCUCCUUUCUUUUGAGGACAUUUGAUUUUUAGUUUCGGAUUAUCACAACUAAGUUUCCCCCUUGUUUUGCGCUCUUUUCUCCGUCCCCUGCCCCGUUUUCUCCUAUGCCCCGCUUCUGCCGUCCCUUUUUUUUUUCUGGUUAGGUAAGCAUUGGAUAUGAUGAUCUUAGAGCUGCUGCAAAUUCUCUUCAUCAGAUGAUUGUGUGAAGUGUGUUCUUGGAAGUUCUCUUGGUGUUUUAGCAUCCUUUCUUUCUUUGCACCACCUGGUGUACUCACACCAAUGUUAUAUGCUUUCUCCAGUUGGCUUUUAGGCAUUACCAUAAAGUGUUUGUUCAUAAUUCUGCAUGCUUUAAUAAAAGAUUUUAACAAUUUCAAGGUUGGGGGCUCGAAAUGGGUAGGUAUUGUUCUAGGUUACUGUCGAAUUCUGAAUAUUUUGAUGUGUGCCCUUCAGCAUAUGCGGAUCGAAAUUAUUUAGGCUAAUCGAGGAAAGUAUUUAGACUCUCGGGGAAUAUUUUGAUCAAAAUUUCCCCAUCGAAAAUAAACACUAAUCAUUUAAAGCAAAAUCCCAGUCGUGAAAUUUAUAUUUAUAGUUGUAGAGGAAAAUCUUUUAUCAGGGUACUUUCGUACAUUUAAACUAUGGAUGUAAUUUCUUCCUGUAAGGUUUAGCAAGCAUUUCCGAACGAUUGUGGCCCGUCUAUGGUAAAUUUUAUCUUUGGACAAAGCAUAUUUAAACAGGGCUUAUUCCAGUUUUUUAAAAGAUAAGCAACAGGAAGCACAAAACUAAAUUUUAAUAAAUUCCCUGAAAAUCGCCAUAAAAUGUUUCAUUGAAUCACGAAUAGCCUGGGAGUUAGAACAAGUAGUCUCAGCUACGGGGAUGCACGUACAUGUGAUAUUUCUAUUUUUGUAAACAAUUUUUUUUUUCUAGAUGGUUUCUGUUUUUUAAAUUUAUGAUGUGCUUGUAUAAGUUAGUGUGUUGAUGCCAUUUUAUUUGUAUGUAUUUUUCCGGCUAGUAAUAAAUUAGAGCAAGCGUAAUAUUGCAUAAAGUAAAAUAUUUUGUUAUAUGUAAAA
rnacentral:lncRNA from 1 species